rnacentral:rRNA from 1 species
CACGUAGGGGACGAGCGUUGUCCGGAUUCAUUGGGCGUAAAGCGCGCGUAGGCGGCUCGGAAAGUCGGUCGUGAAAUGCCGGGGCUCAACCCCGGGACUGCGUCCGAUACUCCCGAGCUGGAGGCAGGUAGGGGAGAUCGGAAUUCCUGGUGUAGCGGUGAAAUGCGCAGAUAUCAGCAGGAACACCGGUGGCGAAGGCGGAUCUCUGGGCCUUGCCUGACGCUGAGGCGCGAAAGCUAGGGGAGCGAACAGG